GGGAGCGGGGCUUGUUUCUGGGAAAGCUCGGCUGUGACAGUGUUGUGUUUCCUCGCUCCUUCUUUUGACGGAUUCUUUCGUUUGAGAACAAUUUGUUUUAUCUCAGUCGUUAGAGAGAUGAUAGAAACAACUUCUGAACACAAACGCUGCGUAAUUAGAAAGUUUAACGAGGAUAUUCAGACGACUUUAAAGAAGAAGGACCGUGUUUGGUUUCGGAGAGAAGCUUCAUGAACAGGCGUCGAGCAGACACCGCCCUCAUCCUCCGCGUUCUCUGACGUCGAUAUGGGAGGACUUUUGAAAACAUGAUGUUCAUGGUGUCUGUUCAGAAACAGACACGAAAGACAGCUGCAUACAAAUGGCCUCAUAGAACUCAUAUCUUAAACUAGAUGUCUGUUCACAGUGAGAGCGGGGCUGACUGAGUUUGCACAAAGGGGAGGACAUUGGCUGAUAUCGUAACUAUGAUGUGAAGUCUCAGAUCAGCACAGCCCUGCCCUCCAGCACUAUCAGCAGCAGAAGCAGCAGCAACCCCUCAACAGCAACAUUGUACCCAUCAGGUGGGGGUGGGCCCGGAGAUAAAAGCACUCACCUGCAGCUGACCAAGGAGGCUGAAGAGUUGGCCUGUGGGUGGGACGCCAGGAUGUUGGGAAUUCUGUCCACUAUGUCGACGACGGUGGCUCCCGGUAACAACAGCGUGAGCGCCCCCCUCAUCCGCACGUUCCUGACGAUGGAAUCCCCGAGGACCAGCGUGGAGAGAGGAGGUGCCACCGGGGGCUGCUGACCAUCUGAGACGCCCACUUGUACAAGGCCACAAAAUCAUCACAGCUGAGUCUGGAAAGAACAUCACUCUGACAUGUCGAGCUCCAAACAACAACAUAGUAGUAGAAUGGAGCAGAGCUGACCUGGAGUCAGAAUAUGUGCUUUUGUACCGAGUCGAGCUGUUUAUUCGAGAUCACCAGCAUCCAUCUUUUAAGGACCGGGUGGAUCAGCAGGACAGACAGAUGAAGGAUGGAGACGUGUUUUUGAUUCUGAUCAACGUGACGACUAAUGACACUGGAACAUACGAGUGUUGUGUCUUCAUGGGAGAAACACGCUCAUGGAAAUCCAUCAGCAUCAUCUAUCUGAUUGUUGAUCCUCCAGGUCAGACAGGAGGAGACACAGAGGAUGGAGAGGAGGAAGAUGGAGUUGGUAGAAGUCAUCAAGGUCGACUGAUGGCUGCUGAUUUAUUACUUGCUGUGAUCAUUCUUGUUUUUGCAGUUGUGAUCUCUAAAAAACACAAGAAAGAUCCUCCUCUUCAUCCUCCUGAUGAAGAAGCAAAGAAGGAAAUGGUCUGAAGCAAAGCACCAUGGAACAAGAGAGAGAGGGAGAAUACAUUAAAACCAGUUAAAAAUGUUUAACUAUAAAAAUGACAAUAUAUAUACGUAUAGAUGGAUAGUUGUAUGAGGGUAACUGAGAGUGACUUUGGCUUAGUGAGAUGAGUAGCUGCCUUGAGACUAAGAGGGCCAGGUUGGAAUCCUGCUCAGGGCAACAUUUUAGGGGGCAGGGAUAACUCAGUAGGUAGAGUGGUGGCCCCAUGAUCGGAAGGUCGGGGGUUCGAUUCCCCUGAACAGCUACCCUAAGGUACCCCUGAGCAAGGCACCGUCCCUACACACUGCUCCCCGGGCGCCCAAAGGCUGCCCACUGCUUCACUGAGUGAAUGGGUUAAAUGCAGAGAGGAAUUUCCCCACAGGGAUCAAUAAAGUACACUUUCUUUCUUUCUAACGUCACGAGGAGAACAAAGAGAAUAUAAACCAUAUAUGUGCUUAGAUCUGUGUGGACCAUUUUAGUUUAAUAUCAGAAGCUGUUUGAGUUACAUUUCAUUGCCCCAGAUGGUAACACCUCCACACCAUCUGAUAAGUUUUGGUUGAAGAUUUAUGUAAAGCAAACUGUCAGAGAAACUCUUGGAUCUGUGUCGGCUCCUCUUGAUCUCAGUGCUUUGAUCCUGUGGAUCACUGCAGACGUUUAGAGACAGUGAUAGAGACUCUCAGAGUUUCUGACUGGAUUAAACUGCACAGAUGGAGGAUUCUUUGUACGUGGUAGUGAAUCUUCAUCCAGGAGCUACAAACUGAACCAUGGCGCUCCACAGGGUCAGAUCUGGGACCAGUGCUUUUAACAUUUACAGGCUGUAACUUUGUGAUGUCAUCAGGAGACACAGAAUGAUUACACUGAUGAUACACAACUUUAUGUUGCUGUGUCUCUUGAUGACACAGAGCCAAUCAGAUCUCUCUGCAUCUUACAUAUUAAAUCCUGGAUGGCAGCAAACUUCCUCCAACUCACUCAGGAUGUGGAGACACAGACUCCUUCUUUCAUCUGCUGCAGGAUUGAUUGCUGCAGUGCUCGUCUUUUUAGUUUUCCAAAGAAACCCUUGUUACUGCAGCUGCUUUAAAAAUCAACUCCACAGCCUUAAUUACACCAAUGUUAUUGUCUGUGCAGUCAGAGUCGUCUUUAAGAUCCUUUUACUGGUUUUUAACACUCAGUGUUUCAGGACCUUCUCAUCUUUCUGAUUUACUUUUAUGCUAUGAGCACUUCAGAGCCCUCUGGGGCCCGUUCUUCGUACCUCGCUAAGUAAGUUAGCCGGAUUUGAAUGUUGACGAUUUCGCGUGAUCUUGGAUUGUUCGGUUCUCCGAAGCUCAUCUGGGACUUGCUGUCAUAGCAACAGAUCCGUAAGCGUAAACCUGCUCGGGAGCAGGUUUACUUUAUGUAAACAGGAUUAGAUCGCGGCCACUCAGGUAUGUCCGCUGCAGUUAUAUGAAAGCAAGAGCGAUAUUUCUCCACUGUGUUACCAUAAAUAAAUAUUAUCAAUGUCACUAAAGAUAAUGUAGCAUUUGAUUCUUUUAUUGAUUUCAUACAGAUACAUACAGGUCAUUUCCGAAAAAAAGGGAAAUGUACUAUUAAUCAUUCUAUUACAUGUAGUAGAUCAUGUCAGAUGUAAUUCAUAUUUUAGAGUAGUAAUAGUAAAUUACUACGUGCAAUCAAGAUGAGAGACCACGGCUAUAAAAGCGAAGGUGGAUUUGGGAAGUCUGUCGCAGCCAUGUCCUGUCCGUUUGUACGCGAGCAAGGAAGGUGCAAGAUUGAUAAGGAGAGUUUACAGAAUUUAGCGUAUAUUGCGGGAUAGACAGGAUCCUUUAGCUCAGCACGACGGUGUGCUCAUAGAGAGAUAUCGAUUCUCCCGUGAGGGUAUUAUUUUCUUUCUCUCUCUCUCUCACUCUCUCCAUACAUACAUAUAUAUAUAUAUAUGUAUAUAUAUAUCUUUAUUUGCUCUGCCCUUUUCUUGGUUGCUUUUAUAAACAAACAAACAGAUUAUUUCAGGGUCUCUUUUCAAGAGACUAAAAGCAAUAUAAGUGAUAAAUAUUACCAUUCUGUAGAAUAUUCUUAUAUUUCACUUUUACUUGUUCCCAUGUUCUAGUGGGUCCUGUUGUGGCUCUAAUGUGGAAGAGGAUAUGAUGUAAUAUAAUAUAAUAUGGUAUAAUAUAAUAUCACAUGAUAUAAUGUAAUAUCAUGGAUCACUUACGAGUUUAAUUUGUCAGCAACUUUCUGCCAGCCCUCUCUCCUUGCUUUUGCAGCCUUUGCAGUGUUCCCCUGCGUUUUAAUUAAACUAUGAAACUCCUGAAAUCCCUCAAUCAAGAGUUCUUGGUCUGCUGCCGUAAAAUACUGAGGGCGCUCCUUCGACAUCUUCGCCGACCAAUCACAGGGUUGCCGAUCAAUGUUUCUACUAUCGAUGCGUAGCCCCUUUUAAGCCACCCAGUGAUCUCAGAUUACUUCAUCCAGCUAUACUAAUCGUCAACAACAGGUGUGUUCGGAGAACCGGAUUAGCGAGCUCAAAGUUAGCGCGAUGAUUUGAUCUUGGAUGUGUCAUUUGAUCUUGGAUGUAGUAAGCGAGGUACGAAGAACGGGCCCCAGGACAGGAGACUGUUGAUCAUCUUUAUUUAUCAUGCUGCACUUUAUUUCAUUUUACUUUUGAUGUAUUUACUGUUUUCUUUGUUUAUUCCCUUUUCGUUAUAUUUCAUGUAUUCUUAGUAGCCUUGUUAUGUUAUUUAUCAUUUCUUUUUAAUCUCCAGUGUUUCUGUAUGAUGAGUGUCUGAUGUCUGGGUGUGGGAGUGGGGAUGAAGGAGUGAUGAGAGGAUGUAAUGAAGUUGAUGUAUGUGUAUUUUUUCUGCUUUUAAUUUAACAUCAUUUUGAGUGGCUUCCUUACUGUGUGAGAAGUGCUAUGUAAAUAAAGUUUUGAGUGAUAUACUAA
ensembl:lncRNA